UUCAUUGCAUCACCAUUUAAAGAGCAAAAACCAAAUCUUUAACUUAAGCCAAAAGAAGAUGUGAAUUGUUUCCUUGGUUUUUUGUUUGCUGUCUGGUUUUUUUUUUUUCCAUCUGCAGCCUUGUUUAUUCACAGUACAAACAGAUUUUAAAGUCACAAGAUGCACAAAGUCGGACAAGGAGCGCUGUUGCCUCCUCCCCUCUGCAAAGCUGCUCUGCCCCAGAGAAACCUCAGCCCCCCGGUGAAAUAAAAACCCCCAAGCCCCCACUUUUCAGUGCCUCCUGAAAUCACAGAGCAGCAGCAGCAGCAGCAGCAGCAGCGCGUGUGUUCCCCCCACCCCGCACAAAGAACAUUCCACGCAUUCCGGAAUUCCACCUUAAGGCAAAAAAAAUCAGUGUGUGAUGGCCUCAAGUUGCCUGCAUCGACCUAUCUGAGUGGAACUGCCAUUUUCUACACCUCCCAUGGAAAAACUCAGCACUCCUCGACAGCAAAACGCUUGGGUGCUUCGUUUUUAUUACAAGUUCCUUGGAACUCCCCAAAUACAAACAGAGCGCAGUAACAGAUGUUAAGUCAAAAGAUUUGCUGUUCCAUAAAGGGGGCAGGAGGCUUAAGUAAGUUGAUUUUUAUGAGAUUCCAAUGCAUUGGUAACUGUAACCACUUUUGAAGAAAUAUUCAUCCUCCUCUGUAGAAGUUCUAGCAAAGAUAGAAAAUAUAACACAGCUCUGCUGGUUCAGAUGCAUCCAAAUGAGGUUGAUUUUAAAAAGGUCAAGACUUUAUAAUUAUUCCACAGAAAUAGUAGUAAACCACAAAAAGUGUUUUUUUCUUUUUUUUUUUUUUUUUUUUUUUGUUUGUUUUUUUUUCUGUUUUUAACUUCCUAGCACUGAAGUGGCACAAAGGCUGCCCAGUAGACCAGCCACUUAUUUUCUUAAAAUAUUGUGCUUAUAAACUAUCUGUACAACUAUUUAAACUUGCAGUAAAGAAAGAUAUUUAAAAUGCUAAACUUUAUGUACUCAUACUAGGGCUGUUGCAGACCUAAUUAGACACUUGUUUGUGAGCAAAAAAUAAUCACAAUAAUAAAAAAUUAGAGAUAGGCUGGACCAUAUCAAGGACCAUAUCAAGGAAAGAAAGUUCAGGUACCUUGCAAAAUGUAAGGGAACCUGAAAGUUUGGUAGGGAGGCAGUUUAGCCAUCCACACCCAAUUUACCCACCCUUGAACAUCUUGAAUAUUCUGUCCAGAAAGUCCUGCAAAACUCACAGAUAUUCAGAGGUGUUAAUUACAAGGGGGAGUUCAAACAUGCAGAGAGAGACUUGUUAACUUGAAAG